rnacentral:rRNA from 1 species
AUGCAGUCGCACGGACCUUUCGGGGUGAGUGGCGGACGGGUGAGUAUCGCGUAGGGAUCUAUCCAUGGGUGGGGGAUAACAUCGGGAAACUGGUGCUAAUACCGCAUGAUACCUGAGGGUCAAAGGCGCAAGUCGCCUGUGGAGGAGCCUGCGUUCGAUUAGCUUGUUGGUGGGGUAAAGGCCUACCAAGGCGAUGAUCGAUAGCUGGUCUGAGAGGAUGAUCAGCCACACUGGGACUGAGACACGGCCCAGACUCCUACGGGAGGCAGCAGUGGGGAAUAUUGGACAAUGGGCGAAAGCCUGAUCCAGCAAUGCCGCGUGUGCGAAGAAGGUCUUCGGAUUGUAAAGCACUUUCGACGGGGACGAUGAUGACGGUACCCGUAGAAGAAGCCCCGGCUAACUUCGUGCCAGCAGCCGCGGUAAUACGAAGGGGGCUAGCGUUGCUCGGAAUGACUGGGCGUAAAGGGCGCGUAGGCGGUUUACACAGUCAGAUGUGAAAUUCCAGGGCUUAACCUUGGGGCUGCAUUUGAUACGUGUAGACUAGAGUGUGAGAGAGGGUUGUGGAAUUCCCAGUGUAGAGGUGAAAUUCGUAGAUAUUGGGAAGAACACCGGUGGCGAAGGCGGCAACCUGGCUCAUUACUGACGCUGAGGC